UGAGGAAUAUUGGACAAUGGGCGCAAGCCUGAUCCAGCCAUGCCGCGUGCAGGAAGAAGCAUCUAUGGUUUUUAAACUGCUUUUGUACGGGAAGAAACACUCCUACGUGUAGGAGCUUGACGGUACCGUAAGAAUAAUGAUCGGCUAACUCCGUGCCAGCAGCCGCGGUAAUACGGAGGAUCCAUGCUUUAUCCGGUAUCAUUGUGUUUAAAGUGUCCGUAGGCGGUUUAAUAAGUCAGUGGUGAAAGCCCAUCGCUCAAAGAUGGAACGGCCAUUGAUACUGUUAGACUUGAAUUACAAGGAAGUAACUAGAAUAUGUAGUGUAGCGAUGAAAUGAUUAGAUAUUACAUGGAAUACCAAUUGAGAAGGCAGGUUACUACUAAUGGAUUGACGCUGAUGGACGAAAGCGUGGGGAGCGAACA
rnacentral:rRNA from 1 species